AAGAAACAUAGAACUGAGAAAUUGUAGGAGAGAGUAUUGGAGACUUCUAGCCAUGUUGAAAAGUCCUAUCCCUCUUAAUGUGGAGCAGAGAACUUUCAAGGACGAUCAUUUUGAAAGAGGAGUCUGAGCCAUGAUAAAAAGGCUAUGGCAAUUGAUUAUGGUUUUCCCCACCCAAUCCUGCCCCCUCCACAUUUAUCUUUCCUAUUGUCACCCCUAAUACACCCUUUAUGGUUCUAACUCAGUGUCAGCGUCUGCUUUUUGGAGGACCAACCGACUCACUCCAGGGAGUGUACACAGUGUGAGUCUUGUACGCGCAGUUCAAAAACAGGCAGAAACCAUGGGAAUGAGGCAGAAGCAAGGUUAUUUUGGGAGGGGUACUGUUGACUGCGAGGGGCCUGAGAAGUCCUUCUGUGGUGGUGGACACAUCCUACAUCUGGAUCUGGCUGUGGUUGUGUUUGUUCAGUCAGUAAAUACUCACAUGGUGCCUGCCAGUCCCAGGGGUGUCUGGUGAUCAGAGAGACAGCUAUCUGUCCCCAGGAAGUGGCCGAUUUCUGAUGGUGGGGAAUAGAUGAGGAACCGGGAGUGGCUCCGGGAGACCAGUGAAGAGGCCCUGCGGCAAUCCAGGUUUUGUGCCCUUCACUCAACUUGCCAGCUGCCCCCCAAUAGCACCAAGUCCAGGAGGCUUUGUGGGGAGUUGAUGGAAGCACAGUUUUUUGUAAGUCCCAUGAGGUCCCAUAAUCCUCCCAUGAUUUCCUUACUGAGGGAUGGGCAGGGCAGAGAUCAAUGGCAUGGGACCCCCCACAUACCUCAAGGAGAAGGUGCUGGGGUGGAAAGAGCUGGCUCCCUCCAGGUCCCCCAAUCCAAUCCAUUCUGCUCCCGCAGCCCGUGGAGGCUGAAGGGCCCUCCCUCCUUCCAAGCAGGAGUAAGUGGCCAGCCCUUCAUCAGUUCUGGGGUUGAGACCAGACCAAAAGGUCAAGGUCUGACUGUGCACAUGCUGCCCAGGAGUAGCCGGGAACAACGGCACAGCAGUAAACCUCAGCAUGAACAGACUCAGUAAACCAGAUUCUCAUUCACUGUGAGCAGAGCCUGGGCCAAAACAUGGCAGGGAGGGUGUGGAGGUGAGGGUGGUGGUGUCUGUGGUCCUGGACAGGACUGCACUGGAGCAGAGGGUGUGAGGGCCUGGGGAGAGAGACAAGAAAGAGACAGGCAGGGGGAGAGUGAGUGAUGUUGG
rnacentral:lncRNA from 1 species